rnacentral:rRNA from 1 species
AUUGAACGCUGGCGGCAGGCCUAACACAUGCAAGUCGAACGAGUGGCGGACGGGUGUGUAAUGUCUGGGAAACUGCCUGAUGGAGGGGGAUAACUACUGGAAACGGUAGCUAAUACCGCAUACCAUCAGAUGUGCCCAGAUGGGCUUAGCUAGUUGGUGGGGUAACGGCUCACCAAGGCGACGAUCCCUAGCUGGUCUGAGAGGAUGACCGGCCACACUGGAACUGAGACACGGGCCAGAAUCCUACGUGAGGCAGACGGGGGGAAUGUUGCACAAUGGGCGGAAGCCUGGUGCAGCCAUGCCGCGUGUAUGAAGAAGGCCUUCGGGUUGUAAAGUACUUUCAGCGGGGAGGCGUGACCCGCAGAAGAAGCACCGGCUAACUCCGUGCCAGCAGCCGCGGUAAUUC